UUCAUUCUCAGGCUACACAGAGAGAAAUCAUGCCGGGCAAGUACAUUUCCUGAGGGCCUUUACUCUUCCAUGGCACUUUCCCCUUAGACUAGUCAAUAGAGAAUGUCCUUCUUUUUUACUACUCACGGUUUCAUAGCAGUUGUCUGGCUUCCUCUCUUAUCUGAUGUGUUUCUGUACUGCCAUACUGAAUUGGAAAUAUGAUUAGGAAGUAGUUACUAAUCUAUUCCACAAGUAUGCUUUUAGCACCAGGUGCCAUUUAUGAUAAUACACAGGACAGCUGUCCCUGUUCUCCAGAAACUUACAGUCCAGUGGCGGAAGCAGAAAACUGAGGAGGAGAUUUCAAUACAAACAAGCAAAGGCAGGCACUGUGAUAAGGUCUAAGGCAUGGCAUUUAAGGGAAUGAUAAUCCUUCAAAAUGGGAAGUCUAAAGGAUGUUUUCAGCAGAAUGAAAAUAACUCCAGAGGAAAGGCCCAAGUGGAAGAAGAAGAAUCAUAAGCAAAGACACCAAUGAAUUUACAAUGAAAUCUAAAACACAUAAACAGGAAGCAGAAAAACUACAUAAGUGAAGAGUGAAGACAACAAAUUACCUCCUUCAGGAUCUGAAAAUGACCCCUGAAACUGAGUGCUGCCACCAAGCCAAGAACAAGAUCAUCAUUGCUCUUGACAAGACAUGCAUGGUUUUUCACAGUGACUACUAAUUUUUUUAGUCUUAAAAUUAGCCAUCAAUCUAGAAAUGAAUCCCAUGGUUUUCAAAUAAAUCAUUUGUUUUUAAAAA